AGCAGCCGCGGUAAUUCCAGCUCCAAUAGCGUAUAUUAAAGUUGUUGCAGUUAAAAAGCUCGUAGUUGAAUUUCGGGAUUAGUAAGUUGGUCGUGCCUCUGGUAUGUACUGGCUUUACUGGUUCCUCCUUCUUGAAGAACUGUAAUGUCAUUAAUUUGGUGUUGCAGGGAAACAGGACUGUUACUUUGAAAAAAUUAGAGUGUUUAAAGCAGGCUAACGCUUGAAUACAUUAGCAUGGAAUAAUGAAAUAGGACGUUUGAUCCUAUUUUGUUGGUUUCUAGGAUUGACGUAAUGAUUAAUAGGGAUAGUUGGGGGCAUUAGUACUCAAUUGUCAGAGGUGAAAUUCUUGGAUUUAUUGAAGACUAACUACUGCGAAAGCAUUUGCCAAGGAUGUUUUCAUUAAUCAAGAACGAAAGUUAGGGGAUCGAAGACGAUCAGAUACCGUCGUAGUCUUAACCAUAAACUAUGCCGACUAGGGAUCGGAUGAUGUUAAUUUUUUAAUGACUCAUUCGGCGCCUUA
rnacentral:rRNA from 1 species